rnacentral:rRNA from 1 species
AACGAACGCUGGCGGCGUGGAUAAGACAUGCAAGUCGAACGGGACAACAUCUGUAGCAAUACAGGUGUUGUUUAGUGGCGAACGGGUGCGUAACACGUGGGCAAUCUGCCGAGAAGUGGGGGAUAGCUCGCCGAAAGGCGAAUUAAUAUCGCAUACGAUCAGCUAAGACAUCUUAGCGACAUCAAAGCCGGGGUAACCUGGCGCUACUCGAUGAGCCCGCGGCCUAUCAGCUAGUUGGUGAGGUAACGCUCACCAAGGCUAUGACGGGUAGCUGGUCUGAGAGGACGACCAGCCACACUGGAACUGAGACACGGUCAGACACCUAGGGUGCAGCAGUCGAGUAAUUUUUCUCAAUGGGGAAACCCUGAAGGAGCGACGCCGCGUGGAGGAUGAAGG